rnacentral:rRNA from 1 species
UACGUAGGGUGCGAGCGUUGUCCGGAAUUAUUGGGCGUAAAGAGCUUGUAGGCGGUUUGUCGCGUCUGCUGUGAAAAUCCGGGGCUCAACCCCGGACUUGCAGUGGGUACGGGCAGACUAGAGUGUGGUAGGGGAGACUGGAAUUCCUGGUGUAGCGGUGAAAUGCGCAGAUAUCAGGAGGAACACCGAUGGCGAAGGCAGGUCUCUGGGCCACUACUGACGCUGGAGACGCGAAAGCGUGGGGAGCGAACAGG